UACGUAGGUGGCAAGCGUUGUCCGGAAUUAUUGGGCGUAAAGCGCGCGCAGGCGGCGGUGCUGGCCCGGCGUGAAAGCCCCCGGCUCAACCGGGGAGGGUCGUCGGGGACCGCACCGCUUGAGGGCGGUAGGGGCUGGUGGAAUGCCUGGUGUAGUGGUGAAAUGCGUAGAGAUCAGGCGGAACACCCGUGGCGAAGGCGGCCAGCUGGGCCGUCCCUGACGCUGAGGCGCGAAGGCGUGGGGAGCGAACGGG
rnacentral:rRNA from 1 species